rnacentral:rRNA from 1 species
GACAGGGGGCUCGAGCGUUAAUCGGAAUCACUGGGCUUAAAGGGUGCGUAGGCGGACCAGUAAGCGUCCCGUGAAAUCCCCCGGCUCAACCGGGGAACUGCGGGGCGAACUGCUGGUCUAGAGGAAGCUAGAGGCGGGUAGAACGAUAGGUGGAGCGGUGGAAUGCGUAGAUAUCUAAUCGGAAUGCCGAAAGGUGAAGACAGCCCGCUGGGGCUUUCCUGACGCUGAGGCACGGAAAGCGUGGGGAGCCAAAC